CACGUAGGGUGCGAGCGUUGUCCGGAAUUAUUGGGCGUAAAGAGCUCGUAGGUGGUUUGUCGCGUUGUCCGUGAAAACUCACAGCUCAACUGUGGGCGUGCGGGCGAUACGGGCAGACUGGAGUACUGCAGGGGAGACUGGAAUUCCUGGUGUAGCGGUGGAAUGCGCAGAUAUCAGGAGGAACACCGGUGGCGAAGGCGGGUCUCUGGGCAGUAACUGACGCUGAGGAGCGAAAGCGUGGGGAGCGGACAGG
rnacentral:rRNA from 1 species